rnacentral:rRNA from 1 species
CAGUAGCCGCGGGUAAUACAGAGGGUGCGAGCGUUAAUCGGAUUUACUGGGCGUAAAGCGUGCGUAGGCGGCUUUUUAAGUCGGAUGUGAAAUCCCUGAGCUUAACUUAGGAAUUGCAUUCGAUACUGGGAAGCUAGAGUAUGGGAGAGGAUGGUAGAAUUCCAGGUGUAGCGGUGAAAUGCGUAGAGAUCUGGAGGAAUACCGAUGGCGAAGGCAGCCAUCUGGCCUAAUACUGACGCUGAGGUACGAAAGCAUGGGGAGCAAACAGGAUUAGAUACCCCGGUAGUCCCUGUCUCUUAUA